UAACUGGCCUAAAACAUCCGCAUUCAGUCUAUGGCAAAUGUUGGAUGUGGUUCUUAAUGAUCGAUAGACAAGUCUGGGAUCUCUUUGUUUGGUGGCUUGCAUUAAGGCAGCAAUAUUUGCUUCCACAUCUGAUCCUUGUUAGAAAUAAAUAAAUUUUGACGCAUUAACUCACCUUGCAAAACUGUUCUUGGAACUUCAGUUACAGUGUUCUGUUUUGUUUCACCAGAAUCAACAUUUUCUUCUUGGUUUACAGAAUCAACCUGCAUAUCUUUUUAACGUUAAUAAAUACAAAAACUUUCCCAUCAAUAACAAACCUCUCUGAUCAUCAAUCAUAUUGAUACUGGUACUUGGUAGUGGUUACGUUCAGUGGAGGGCAUAUGCCUAAGCUUACGACUCACUGUGCUGUAUACUUCCUCCCUAUGAUUAUAAACACGAAUA